AGUGAACGCUGGCGGUAGGCCUAACACAUGCAAGUCGAACGGCAGCACAGUAAGAGCUUGCUCUUACGGGUGGCGAGUGGCGGACGGGUGAGGAAUACAUCGGAAUCUACUUUUUCGUGGGGGAUAACGUAGGGAAACUUACGCUAAUACCGCAUACGACCUACGGGUGAAAGCAGGGGAUCUUCGGACCUUGCGCGAUUGAAUGAGCCGCUGUCGGAUUAGCUAGUUGGCGGGGUAAAGGCCCACCAAGGCGACGAUCCGUAGCUGGUCUGAGAGGAUGAUCAGCCACACUGGAACUGAGACACGGUCCAGACUCCUACGGGAGGCAGCAGUGGGGAAUAUUGGACAAUGGGCGCAAGCCUGAUCCAGCCGUACCGCGUGGGUGAAGAAGGCCUUCGGGUUGUAAAGCCCUUUUGUUGGGAAAGAAAAGCAGCAGGUUAAUACCCCGCUGUUCUGACGGUACCCAAAGAAUAAGCACCGGCUAACUUCGUG
rnacentral:rRNA from 1 species